rnacentral:rRNA from 1 species
AUACGUAGGUGGCGAGCGUUAUCCGGAAUUAUUGGGCGUAAAGGUGCGUAGGCGGUUAUUUAAGUUUAAGGUUAAAGUUCAGGGCUCAACCCUGUGAUGCCUUAGAAACUGGAUAGCUAGAGUACAGGAGAGGUUAGUGGAAUUCCAUGUGUAGCGGUAAAAUGCGUAGAUAUAUGGAGGAACACCAGUGGCGAAGGCAGGGUCCGGGGCUGAAACAGAUGCUCACUCUCGAACUACGGGGCGGCAAUUAGAUUGAAUUCACUUGAUUGGCGACGCCGUAAACGACGUAUACUAAGGGUUGGGGUAAUACGCAGUGCUGCAGUUGACGCAAUAAUUAUGCCGCCUGGGGAGAAUGCGCGCAAGCUGAAAACGCAAAUGAAUUGACGGGG